rnacentral:rRNA from 1 species
CACGUAGGGCGCGAGCGUUGUCCGGAAUUAUUGGGCGUAAAGAGCUCGUAGGCGGUUCGUCGCGUCGGCUGUGAAAUCCCGAGGCUCAACCUCGGGUCUGCAGUCGAUACGGGCGGACUGGAGUUCGGCAGGGGAGACUGGAAUUCCUGGUGUAGCGGUGAAAUGCGCAGAUAUCAGGAGGAACACCGGUGGCGAAGGCGGGACUCUGGGCCGAUACUGACGCUGAGGAGCGAAAGCGUGGGGAGCAAACAGG